rnacentral:rRNA from 1 species
CCUACGGGCGGCAGCAGUGGGGAAUAUUGGGCAAUGGGCGCAAGCCUGACCCAGCAACGCCGCGUGAAGGAAGAAGGCUUUCGGGUUGUAAACUUCUUUUCUGAGGGACGAAGAAAGUGACGGUACCUCAGGAAUAAGCCACGGCUAACUACGUGCCAGCAGCCGCGGUAAUACGUAGGUGGCAAGCGUUAUCCGGAUUUAUUGGGUGUAAGGGGCGUGUAGGCGGGAAAGCAAGUCAGAUGUGAAAACUCAGGGCUCAACCCUGAGCCUGCAUUUGAAACUGUUUUUCUUGAGUGCUGGAGAGGCGAUCGGAAUUCCGGGUGUAGCGGUGAAAUGCGUAGAUAUACGGAGGAACACCAGUGGCGAAGGCGGAUUGCUGCAGCGGAACUGACGCUGAUGCUCGAAAGCGCGGGUAUCGAACAGGAUUAGAUACCCGAGUAGUC